CCUACGGGUGGCAGCAGUGAGGAAUAUUGGUCAAUGGCCGGAAGGCUGAACCAGCCAAGCCGCGUGAAGGACGAAGGUGCUAAGCAUUGUAAACUUCUUUUGUACGGGAACAAAAUCCGGUUCGUGAGCCUGACCGAGGGUACUUGAAGAAAAAGCAUCGGCUAAUUCCGUGCCAGCAGCCGCGGUAAUACGGAGGGUUCGGGCGUUAUCCGGAUUUAUUGGGGUUAAAGGGUGCGUAGGCCGGAUGUUAAGUCAGCGGUCAAAGGCCCGGGCUCAACCCCGGCACAGCCGUGGAAACUGGCGGGCUUGAGAGGGCGAGAGGUAUGCGGAAUGCGCAGUGUAGCGGUGAAAUGCUUAGAUAUGGCGAAGAACUCCGAUUGCGAAGGCAGCAUACCGGAGGCGAACUGACGCUGAGGCUCGAAAGCGUGGGUAUCGAACAGGAUUAGAUACCCGGGUAGUC
rnacentral:rRNA from 1 species